UCCCUCCAAUUGAAGCUGCUCUUAAAGCUGGAGCAGUUUCUGUUCUUGUGCAGUGUCUUUCAUUUGGUUCUCCAGAUGAGCAGUUGCUUGAGGCAGCUUGGUGCCUUACAAAUAUUGCAGCUGGAAAACCAGAA